GUACCUGUAGCUCAGUCGGUAGAGCGGGAGACUGAAAAUCUCCGCGUCGGUAGUUCAACUCUGCCCAGGUGCA
rnacentral:tRNA from 1 species